rnacentral:rRNA from 1 species
AUGCGUACUGGAACAUUUAAGUAUUUCACCUAUAAUUUUCCAAGUUUGUGGCGAGCAUAUGUUUUCAUAUUACUGCAGGAGAGGUUGGUUUCACAUUGUAUUUGGAAGAACAAGAUGCCCCAGAUCAAAUAUUACCAAAAAAUCAGAAGAGCUAGGUGUAUAUAUGAUGAGAUGAUCCGCUCUUUACAUUUUUUCUUGACGUGUAAAAGGUGCACUAGCUUGUCUAUGACCCUCAUUGUUGUUUGGAAACAUUUCUGCUCUUCGCUUCAACAAUGCGCUCCUUUUUUUGUGAAGAGCAAUGCACUCAUUGAUGCUACUUUGUUAACAUGUCUUUGUUGGGUCUCGUUCCUUAUUUUUAUACCUACGGAUUUAGCAAGAGACUUUUUUGUCUCUGUAUUUUCACCAUACUUCCAUUCAUAUUUUUAUUAG